rnacentral:rRNA from 1 species
CUUGACGUGUCAGGAAGCUCUUGUAAUGAGAGCGUGCCCGCAAGGGAGCCUGAACACAGGUGCUGCAUGGCUGUCGUCAGCUCGUGUCGUGAGAUGUUGGGUUAAGUCCCGCAACGAGCGCAACCCUUGUCACUAGUUGCUACGAAAGGGCACUCUAGUGAGACUGCCGGUGACAAACCGGAGGAAGGUGGGGAUGACGUCAAGUCCUCAUGGCCCUUAUG